rnacentral:rRNA from 1 species
GCUGACGAGUGGCGAACGGGUGAGUAAUGCAUCGGAACGUGCCCAGAGGUGGGGGAUAACGCAGCGAAAGCUGUGCUAAUACCGCAUGUGAUCUGAGGAUGAAAGCGGGGGACCAAGCAGCAAUGUUUGGCCUCGCGCCUCUGGAGCGGCCGAUGUCAGAUUAGGUAGUUGGUGGGGUAAAGGCCUACCAAGCCGACGAUCUGUAGCUGGUCUGAGAGGACGACCAGCCACACUGGGACUGAGACACGGCCCAGACUCCUACGGGAGGCAGCAGUGGGGAAUUUUGGACAAUGGGCGCAAGCCUGAUCCAGCAAUGCCGCGUGCGGGAAGAAGGCCUUCGGGUUGUAAACCGCUUUUGUACGGAACGAAAAGGCUCUGGCUAAUACCUGGGGCUGAUGACGGUACCGUAAGAAUAAGCACCGGCUAACUACGUACCAGCAGCCGCGGUAAUACGUAGGGUGCGAGCGUUAAUCGGAAUUACUGGGCGUAAAGCGUGCGCAGGCGGUCUUGUAAGACAGAGGUGAAUCCCUGGGCUCAACCUAGGAAUGGCCUUUGUGACUGCAAGGCUGGAGUGCGGUAGAGGGGGAUGGAAUUCCGCGUGUAGCAGUGAAAUGCGUAGAUAUGCGGAGGAACACCGAUGGCGAAGGCAGUCCCCUGGGCCUGCACUGACGCU